CCUGGAGCCUGGAGCAGCUCAGCCUCUGCUCUGAGGACCCAGGAUCAGCUGUGAGCACCAUGGCCUGGACCCCUGUGCUCCUCGUGCUCCUCGCUCACUGCACAGGGUCCCUCUCCCAGCCGGUGCUGACUCAGCCGCCCUCCCUCUCUGCAUCUCCGGGAGCCACAGCCAGACUCCCCUGCACCCUGAGCAGUAGCGCUGUCGUUGCGGGCUACCAUAUCUCCUGGUACCAGCAGAAGCCAGGGAGCCCUCCCUGGUUUCUCCUGAGAUAUAAAGAUGACUCAGAUAAGGGCCAGGGCUCCGGGGUCCCCAGCUACUUCUCUGGAACCAAAGACGCCUCGGCCAAUGCGGGGCUCCUGCUCAUUUCGGGGCUGCAGCCUGAGGACGAGGCUGAGUAUUACUGUGCGACUUACCACGGCAACAGUAACACUUACACGGUGCCCCAGGGCCACGGGGAAGGAGCUGCCUGUGAUCAUGGGAAGAUGACCCGCCUGGUUGCAGAACCCAGAGCCACCAGCCCUUUGAAGACCCCCAGCCUUUGUGAAUCUCCAGCCCCAUUACCUGUGAACCGCCCAUUUGGCACACCCAUUGCCUACGUCCCCUGUGCCCCCAAAGGCUCCCUCAGCACCGAGGCAGGAUCGGCCAUCACCGCCUUCGACUUCAUCCCCGGGCCACGCCGAGAUGUCCGUGAGGCCGGGACUCUCAGCGACUGGGCCACUCCAGGGAUGCGGCAGACAGGAAUUUUUACCUGA